rnacentral:rRNA from 1 species
GAUGAACGCUGGCGGCGUGCCUAAUACAUGCAAGUCGAGCGAACAGACGAGGAGCUUGCUCCUCUGACGUUAGCGGCGGACGGGUGAGUAACACGUGGAUAGCCUACCUAUAAGACUGGGAUAACUUCGGGAAACCGGAGCUAAUACCGGAUAAUAUAUUGAACCGCAUGGUUCAAUAGUGAAAGACGGUUUUGCUGUCACUUAUAGAUGGAUCCGCGCCGCAUUAGCUAGUUGGUAAGGUAACGGCUUACCAAGGCAACGAUGCGUAGCCGACCUGAGAGGGUGAUCAGCCACACUGGAACUGAGACACGGUCCAGACUCCUACGGGAGGCAGCAGUAGGGAAUCUUCCGCAAUGGGCGAAAGCUUGACGGAGCAACGCCGCGUGAGUGAUGAAGGUCUUCGGAUCGUAAAACUCUGUUAUUAGGGAAGAACAAAUGUGUAAGUAACUAUGCACGUCUUGACGGUACCUAAUCAGAAAGCCACGGCUAACUACGUG